rnacentral:ribozyme from 1 species
CCAGGUUUGGGCCUGGCUAAAUAGAUAAUUAAGCCCAAAGCGUCCCCACCCUGGUGGGGGGUUUAU